GCUUUUAAUGGUUUCUAUGGAUCAGCCCCUGGAGAUGCGUCUAAGGCAUCCUCCUUCCAGUUUGGGUCCAUAAGUCCUGGUUUCAUGAAUGGGAUGCAUAGCUUCACUUCACUGGUUCUUGGAGAAGAGAAAGGAGGAAAACAUGGCUGAUGCAGAUUGCUGUUAUUUUGUUGCAGUUUUCUGCUUUGUUUGUUGAGGGAUAAAUGUGUGAGGGCUUGUGUUUUUCCUGUUUUGUUUUUUUUUCUAAUGCUGUAAGCCCUUUGGGUGGAUGGUUUUCUAACUUGCUAGAUUAUUGUUUGGUUUGUAUAA